rnacentral:snRNA from 1 species
GGAUGUGAGGGCGAUCUGGCUGCGACAUCUGUCACCCCAUUGAUCACCAGGGUUGAUUCGGCUGAUCUGGCUGGCUAGGCGGGUGUCCCCUUCCUCCCUCACAGCUCCAUGUGCGUCCCUCCCGAAGCUGCGCGCUCGGUCGAAGAGGACGGGCCUUCCCCGAAUAGAGACGGACCGGUCUUCGGUCGAGGGUAUACGAGUAGCUGCGCUCCCCUGCUAGAACCUCCAAACAAGCUCUCUUUGAAAAUAUUCUUUAAUAUUGCAAAAAAAAAAAAAAAUGGCAAAAGUGGCCACGAGAGGCAGUGGAUUCAUAGU